rnacentral:rRNA from 1 species
UGGGGAAUAUUGCACAAUGGGGGAAACCCUGAUGCAGCGACGCCGCGUGAACGAAGAAGGUAUUCGUAUCGUAAAGUUCUGUCCUAUGGGAAGAUAAUGACAGUACCAUAGAAGAAAGCUCCGGCUAAAUACGUGCCAGCAGCCGCGGUAAUACGUAUGGAGCGAGCGUUGUCCGGAAUUAUUGGGCGUAAAGGGUACGCAGGCGGUUUAAUAAGUCGAAUGUUAAAGAUCGGGGCUCAACCCCGCAAAGCAUUGGAAACUGAUAAAUUUGAGUAGUGGAGAGGAAAGUGGAAUUCCUAGUGUAGUGGUGAAAUACGUAGAUAUUAGGAGGAAUACCAGUAGCGAAGGCGACUUUCUGGACACAAACUGACGCUGAGGUACGAAAGCGUGGGGAGCAAACAGG